AUAGAAUCUUUUCACAAUCAAACAAUACACUCAAACUCCAUAAACGCAAAACGCAAAAUAGUGUUCAUCGUUCCAAAAACGCAAAACCCUAACUCAUCUCUUCAUCCAGGAAGCUAUGGAAUUCAUGCAACCACAAGCACCUAAUACGGUCAUCAUUCCAAAUCCCUAAGUCGACGAAAUCCCUAAUAAAUUUCAAAUCCCUAAUUGUCGCUCCAAAUCCAAACCCCUAACUCGUUCAUCGUUCCAAUCCCAAAUCCAUAAAUCUCUUUCCAAAUCGACUUAUAGCUUCUCUUGUUCUGUCUCCGACAAGUGGCGAACCUUCUCUUUCGUUCUCUCAUUCUGAAUCUGGUUCAGGGCAAGCAGUGGCAGUUAGAUGGCAUUAGAUGUCCAUUUUAUAAUUGCAGUAGCUUCCCUCUCUUGAUAAGUUAGAUAUGCUUCUUAAAUUAUUUUAUAUGGUGAUGUAUUCAUGUUGAAUUUCUAAGAAGUUGAUGAAUCUCAAUGCAUUCAUCUUUGUUUUGGAGACUGCAUUGAUUAAAUGAAUUCUGUGUUGGAUUAUAUUUUAAGUCUUUGAUUUAUAUCUUUGAUUAGGUACACAAUCUCAUGCACCAGGUGAACUUGUAGAAAUCAAAACCUCCUACUAUAAGGUUCUGAAAUUUACAAUUUUCAGGGGUAAUUGAGAUUUGUGAUGCUGUGUCAUUUUAACUCAAUAUGGUUGGAUAUUGCAGAAAGUCUAUGGAGCCAAUUGAAUAGAAUGACUUUGAAUGACACUUAAGCAAAUCAUCCUGUCCUUGGAAACGUUAAGCUAGCAUUGGAACUUCUUGUUCAGCAAAUGUGAAAUUAAAUUACAGGAUUCAUUGUUCUUCGGCACAGAUGGUUUCUCUAAAAAAGCAAUAACAUGAAGUAAUUUAUAAUUCACCUUUUUCUGUGUAGGUAUUUACAGAAGGACAAAGUUCAUGGUCCUGAAGGCAAUACCAUAUAUUAUACGAGCUUGCUGAGAGAGCUUCAGAUGGACCAAUCAAUAACAAAGUCAAGGAAUAUAUAACUCAGGUAACUGAGUUACAAGAGUCAAGAGAUGGCAGGUGUUCAGAGUUUAGUUAGCACUAAUUAAGGAUCAUGAAGCAACAUCACGUACUAGGAAUAUUGAGAUGUUUUGUGUACUUAUUUUGACUUAAUAUUUUGUAUGUUUUGCCACUCUACUAAUGGUUAGGUUUUAGUUUUUUGAAUGAUCGAACUACAUUAGUUUUUUUUUCUUUUUUCUUAUGGAGUUUCAUGUAUUUUAAUUAAACUUUUUAUGUAUGAAUGUUG